rnacentral:tRNA from 1 species
GGUUGUGGCUCAGUGGUAGAGCUCUCACCUAGCAUGUGGUUUACCUGGGUUCAAUCCUCAGCACCA